AAGAUAGAGGAAAUUAAAAGGUUUCUUCACUGUUCAUCCAUUUCCAUAUACUGGAACCAAAAUAGCUAUCAUAAAUCAUGCAUUGUCUUCAUGAGAAUGAACAUCUCAAAAGUAUAUGAAAGUACAACUUCAACAAUCAUCCGGAUCAGCAAAAUUAAAUUGCUGCAUUAUUCAUUUCAAACCAAAAAAGUAAUAGACGACAGUAAAUGAACGUCGUCUUCCUUUAAAAUUUAAUUGUUAAUCACAGUUCCACCGUUAGGAUGAAGAGUUUGGCCUGUCAUGUAACCACCAUCUGAGCAUGCAAGGAAAAGGUAGCAAGAAGCAACCUCAACAGGCUGUCCCAUACGUCCAAGAGGAACUUGGUCAGAAAGUUCAAUCUUCUCCUUGGGAAAUGUGGAGCUAACGAGAGGUGUGUAGAUGGGACCAGGAGCAACGGCAUUCACACGAAUACCAUGCUGCGCAUAUUGAUUGCUCAACCCCCGAGUAAAUGCGGUAAUGGCACCCUUAGUGGAUGUGUAGUCUAGUAAAUCAGGUCGUCCUACAUAAGCGUUGAUGCUGGAACAAUUGACAAUUGAACUUCCGCUCUUCAUAUGCGAAAUAGCGGCCUUGGUGACCCAGAAAAAGGAGAAGAUGUUCGUUUUAAAAGUGAGAUCCCAUUGUUCAUCGUCGAUAUCUUCAAUGGAUUGAGCGACCUGUUGAUAUGCGAUGUUGUUCACCAAUACAUCGAUCCAACCCAGCUUCUUUAGAGCAAAAUCAACCAAAUCCCUACAGUUAUCAGACUUGUCAAGUUUUCCCUCCCAUAUCCAACAAUUUCUUCCUUCACGUUCAAUUAAAUCUCUCGUAACUUCUGCAUCGUCUCUUUCUUCUGGAAGGCAUGAUAUAACGAGAUCAGAUCCCUCUCUGGCAAACAUCACCGCUGCUGCUUUACCAAUACCAGAGUCUCCUCCUGUGAGCAAUGUCUUUUUCUCUGCAAGUUUCCCUGAUCCGACAUGUACCCGUCCAUCACAAUAUCUGAGAAGUGAUGGUUCAGGAUCUAAGUCGGCAUGCUUGCCAGGCCAUUUUUGAGUUUGUGUGCUAGGAACAGGAUCCAUUUUAUUAAUGUUUUUUUAAUAAAGUCGCAGUUAUUUAGUUAGUUAGUCAGUCGUAGUAAAUUGGAAAUAUAUUAAGGCGCACGUCUAUCUCUAUAUAUA